GACGAACGCUGGCGGCGUGCUUAACACAUGCAAGUCGAACGAAGUGGCGAACGGGUGAGUAACGCGUAAUCAACCUGCCCUUCAGAGGGGGACAACAGUUGGAAACGACUGCUAAUACCCCAUACUGAUGGAGGGGAUUGCGUCUGAUUAGCGAGUUGGAGGGGUAACGGCCCACCAGGGCGAUGAUCAGUAGCCGGUCUGAGAGGGUGGACGGCACAAGUGGGAGUGAGACACGGCCCAGACUCCUACGGGAGGCAGCAGUGGGGAAUCUGCCGCAAUGGACGAAAGUCUGACGGAGCAACGCCGCGUGAGUGAGGACGGCCUGCGGGGUGUAAAGCUCUGUUAAUCGGGACGCGGUACCGGAAUAGAAAGCCACGGCUAACUACGUGCCAGCCGCCGCGGUAAUUC
rnacentral:rRNA from 1 species